CGGACGUGGGCAACCUGCCUUAUACAGGGGGAUAACAGCUGGAAACAGCUGCUAAUACCGCAUAAGCGCACAGCGGCGCAUGACGCAGUGUGAAAAACUGAGGUGGUAUAAGAUGGGCCCGCGUCUGAUUAGCUGGUUGGGAGGGUAACGGCCUACCAAGGCGACGAUCAGUAGCCGGCCUGAGAGGGCGGACGGCCACAUUGGGACUGAGACACGGCCCAGACUCCUACGGAAGGCAGCAG
rnacentral:rRNA from 1 species